rnacentral:rRNA from 1 species
CCAGACUCCUACGGGAGGCAGCAGUGAGGAAUAUUGGUCAAUGGGCGGGAGCCUGAACCAGCCAAGCCGCGUGAAGGAAGAAGGCGCCAGGCGUCGUAAACUUCUUUUGUCGGGGAACAAAGGGCGCCACGCGUGGCGUUGUGAGUGUACCCGAAGAAAAAGCAUCGGCUAACUCCGUGCCAGCAGCCGCGGUAAUACGGAGGAUGCGAGCGUUAUCCGGAUUUAUUGGGUUUAAAGGGUGCGUAGGCGGGCUUUUAAGUCAGCGGUAAAAAUUCGGGGCUCAACCCCGUCCGGCCGUUGAAACUGGGGGCCUUGAGUGGGCGAGAAGAAGGCGGAAUGCGUGGUGUAGCGGUGAAAUGCAUAGAUAUCGCGCAGAACUCCGAUUGCGAAGGCAGCAUGCCGGCUCCACACUGACGCUGAGGCACGAAAGCGUGGGUAUCGAACAGGAUUAGAUACCCCUGUAC